rnacentral:rRNA from 1 species
GACAGAGGGUGCAAACGUUGUUCGGAAUUACUGGGCGUAAAGCGUGUGUAGGCGGUCUCGUAAGUCGGGUGUGAAAGCCCUGGGCUCAACCCAGGAAGUGCACUCGAAACUGCGAGGCUAGAGUACUGGAGAGGUUGGUGGAAUUCUCGGUGUAGAGGUGAAAUUCGUAGAUAUCGAGAGGAACACCGGUGGCGAAGGCGGCCAACUGGACAGAUACUGACGCUGAGACACGAAAGCGUGGGGAGCAAACAGG